AGUGAACGCUGGCGGUAGGCCUAACACAUGCAAGUCGAACGGCAGCACAGUAAGAGCUUGCUCUUACGGGUGGCGAGUGGCGGACGGGUGAGGAAUACAUCGGAAUCUACUUUUUCGUGGGGGAUAACGUAGGGAAACUUACGCUAAUACCGCAUACGACCUACGGGUGAAAGCAGGGGAUCUUCGGACCUUGCGCGAUUGAAUGAGUCGAUGUCGGAUUAGCUAGUUGGCGGGGUAAAGGCCCACCAAGGCGACGAUCCGUAGCUGGUCUGAGAGGAUGAUCAGCCACACUGGAACUGAGACACGGUCCAGACUCCUACGGGAGGCAGCAGUGGGGAAUAUUGGACAAUGGGCGCAAGCCUGAUCCAGCCAUACUGCGUGGGUGAAGAAGGCCUUCGGGUUGUAAAGCCCUUUUGUUGGGAAAGAAAAGCAGCAGGUUAAUACCCCGCUGUUCUGACGGUACCCAAAGAAUAAGCACCGGCUAACUUCGUG
rnacentral:rRNA from 1 species